rnacentral:SRP_RNA from 1 species
GCCGGGCAUGGUGGCCCAUGCCUGUAAUCCCAGCACUUUGGGAGGCCGAGGUGGGUGGAUCACCUGAGGUCAGGAGUUUGAGACCAGCCUGAUCAACACGGAGAAACCCCGUCUCUA